GACAGAGGGUGCAAACGUUGUUCGGAAUUACUGGGCGUAAAGCGAGUGUAGGCGGUUUGGUAAGUCGGAUGUGAAAGCCCCCGGGCUCAACCCGGGAAGUGCACUCGAUACUGCCAAGCUAGAGUAUCGGAGAGGUUGGUGGAAUUCUCGGUGUAGAGGUGAAAUUCGUAGAUAUCGAGAGGAACACCGGUGGCGAAGGCGGCCAACUGGACGAAUACUGACGCUGAGACUCGAAAGCGUGGGGAGCAAACAGG
rnacentral:rRNA from 1 species